GUUGACUGAAAGAUCUCAAAAACCAACACAUCAUCCCACAACUUAAAGAAAUUUAAGAAUGGAUGAGAAACGCAGUUACUGUGUCUGGAAAGCUAUUUAUAAGGCUUUGGGACUCCGGUGAGUCACAGUGAUAAUAGCCGUAAUUCCCAAAUGGAGAAACAACAGAACAGUGGUGAAUCUUCCCAGGAGUGGUCAGCCUACAAAACGCCAACCGUUCACCAAAGCACCACAGGCCCACUUGGGCAAAUACUUUUUCACGUGGAAGCGGACUGUGGUUUCUGUGUGAUGAUGGUACCAGGCCACAUCGCCGCCCCACUCCAACUAUCUCCUUUGUUUUUCAUACUAUUGCCUCCUCUUCCUCCUGGGACAGAGCAUGCCUUAUGUUUUACUCCUCAAGCUUGCUGUCUCUGUAAACUGAGCUCAUUUAUGCUUUUUAUUGAGAUAAUUUGUUUUGCUCAUCUUGAAGAGGUUCAGUUUUAACUUUAAUUUAUUGUCUCAAACCUUAAACCCAGUUUAAAUUGUGGUGAGACUGAAGAUUUCUUUUGAUUCAUAUUGUUUUCAAAAAGUCUUAACAUUAACCCCAUUUUAUGAUGAUGCUGUCAAUAGGUUUCUUUCUCAGCCUGACAAUAUAUAGACCAAUGUGGAGUGAGCAAUGUCAACAUUGUUAGCAUACCACCCAUUGUCUAAGCCCUCAUCUGAGAAGUGUACUCAGGGACUCCUGGAUCCAAAUAAAGUAUGACAAAUCCCCUACUGUGUACUUUACAGCUCAGAAAUAACCCCUGCAUUAAAAAUAUAGAGGUUCAGAAGCUUCCUGGCUUUAUAUUCAGAGAAUAAUGUUAAAGUAUGUCAUGGCAGGUGUUGGUAAUAGAGAUGUAUUGAAUAUAGACUUCAGAAGAAAAUGUCAUAUUGACUCAAAGAUGGAGACAGAUGAGUGAAAGAGGGGAGAAGGGGGUAGGGUGUGAAUGUUAGCCAUUACCUAAGCAAUGGUUUCAAUUUGUAUGUACUUCACUCCUUGAAGGCAGGAACUAGACAUGCUGGAAGACAUCUUGUAAUAAACACAAAUAUAAAGGCUCAAAUUAUAAAUUUUAUAUUCAAAAAGUCACAUCCUAAGACACUGAUGCUAACCCGCUUUGUUUCCUUGGCUGCUUGUGUCUUAAAGAGUGUUGAUCCGAUUUAUUACGUUUAUUAUGGAAACCUAUUUUAGCACAGCUAAUUUUUUUUCAACUGUCAAUUUCCUUUUUGUAGAUAAACUGAUAUUGCAGUUUUUUUUUAAAGUGUGCAUUAUGCAGUUGCUCAAUCUUUCACUCUAUAAAGAGGAAGUCUCACAUUCUUCUUCUUAUGACUCUUGCUUCACUUUGGUAUUAAUGUUUGUGAUGAGACCUUUUG